CGAGCGCGGGAGCGAUGGAAAAUUCCAGAUGCCAAUGCCAACACAGAGCAACUGACACGCAGCGUUUCCCCCCCAGAAACACGAUAUUGUUCUGUGUUUUUCUACACACAAUAGAGAUGUUGGUCUAUAUAUGGAAGGAAACUGACUGGUGCUCAUCUAAUCAGGACCAUGUGAAGUGUACACUUGUGUUGUGACCUGCUUGGACAACACUGGAAUACAUCACAUCCGGUUGGCCAGUCGCAUAUGGUCUAGUCACAGGAAUUCAAGUAUUUUAACGUAUCCACAGCUCAAAUCGGGUCCGAAUACGGAGAUGAUUAGAACUCUACGCAGCUCCAGGACUACUCGUCAUUGGAAAUGAAUGACUUCCGGUCUGUCACUUUUCGUUUGCUGUGGAAAGGCGGCUUUAGGGUUUACUCACGCUAGGCUAUGUGAACUAUGCCCAGACACGUUUGACACUCAUUUCCUGAUUCGUUUGACAAGUGUGAGUGCUCCCAAUUGAGCCCAGAUGCAGGUCCAGUUCAGGACGCUUGUUUCUUAUAUUCUUGUUUAUGUAAAGUACUUUGAAUUACAAGUGUGUAUGAAAUGUACUAUUGAAAU
rnacentral:lncRNA from 1 species